GACGGGUAGCUGGUCUGAGAGGACGAUCAGCCACACUGGAACUGAGACACGGUCCAGACUCCUACGGGAGGCAGCAGUGGGGAAUUUUGCACAAUGGGCGAAAGCCUGAUGCAGCAACGCCGCGUGUGUGAUGAAGUUUUCGGAUCGUAAAGCACUUUCGACCGGGAAGAACACCUCUUGGCUAACAUCCAAGGGCCUGACGGUACCGGGAGAAGAAGCACCGGCUAACUCUGUGCCAGCAGCCGCGGUAAUACAGAGGGUGCAAGCGUUGUUCGGAAUUAUUGGGCGUAAAGCGCGUGUAGGCGGCUUUGCAAGUCGGGUGUGAAAGCCCUCAGCUUAACUGAGGAAGUGCGCCCGAAACUGCUUAGCUUGAGUACCGGAGAGGAUGGCGGAAUUCCCCAAGUAGAGGUGAAAUUCGUAGAUAUGGGGAGGAACACCGGUGGCGAAGGCGGCCAUCUGGACGGAUACUGACGCUGAGACGCGAAAGCGUGGGUAGCAAACAGGAUUAGAUACCCUGGUAGUCCACGCCGUAAACGAUGAGAACUAGGUGUCGUGGGUGUUGACCCCCGCGGUGCCGUAGCUAACGCAUUAAGUUCUCCGCCUGGGAAGUACGGCCGCAAGGCUAAAACUCAAAGGAAUUGACGGGGGCCCGCACAAGCGGUGGAGCAUGUGGUUUAAUUCGACCACGCGCAGAACCUUACCUGGUCUUGACAUCCUAGGAACCUGCCAGAGAUGGCGGGGUGCCCGCAAGGGAACCUAGAGACAGGUGCUGCAUGGCUGUCGUCAGCUCGUGUCGUGAGAUGUUGGGUUAAGUCCCGCAACGAGCGCAACCCUCGCCUUUAGUUGCCGCCCUAAAAAGCGGAUCUCUAGAGGGACUGCCGGUGUUAAACCGGAGGAAGGUGGGGAUGACGUCAAGUCCUCAUGGCCUUUAUGACCAGGGCUACACACGUGCUACAAUGGCCGGUACAAAGCGCUGCUAACUCGCGAGAGGGAGCCAAUCGCAUAAAACCGGUCUCAGUUCGGAUUGGAGUCUGCAACUCGACUCCAUGAAGUCGGAAUCGCUAGUAAUCGAAGAUCAGCACGCUUCGGUGAAUACGUUCCCGGGCCUUGUACACACCGCCCGUCACACCAUGGGAGUCAAUUGCUCCAGAAGUCGAUGUGCCAACCGCAAGGAGGCAGUCGCCCAAGGAGUGAUUGGUAACUGGGGUGAAGUCGUAACAAGGUA
rnacentral:rRNA from 1 species